UUGGAGAAGGCUUGUGCUGGUUUUAACUGCCGGACUCCUCUUUCCCCUGGACUCCCUACUCUAGGCGGCUAGGUUUAGGCUGUUGCUCUUUUGUUAUUGUUGUUUUUGUGUUUUGAGACAGGGUUUCUCUCGGUAGCUUUGCAGCCUGUCCUGGAACUCGCUCUGUAGACCACGCUGCUCUCGAACGCAGAGAUCUGCCUGCCUUGGCCUCCCGAGUGCUGGGAUUAAAGGCGUGCGCCACCAGCGUCCUGCUGCUCCGGGUUCUUAAAGACGAUCCCAGCAGCUUUUCUACUUAACUGCUUCUUCACUUUGGCGUCUAGAAACUGAUCAGAGCUGCAGGGAGCGCCCGACUCUGAUCAGUUUGACUCUAAGCUGUUAAUCCUGCCUGGGAAUUGAGGCUGUCACUCAGACCACAGCUAACACUGGAAACCCCCAAGACCCGUACUUAAAUCACUAGUUGUGUGUCCCGGCCUGAAGAUUUCCGAGGUGAAGACAUACUUUUCUGUAGACUCCCAGAAGUUGGAAACUGACCGCUUCCAAUCUCUCCCGGAGGUCCUCCCACUUCGUGCCCUUCAUUGUCGGGAAAUCCACUACUGCAAGUUUCAAGACAGACAUAAGUUUCGCGUUUAUCAGAGCCCAGGCUACUGACGCCCAUCAUCACUCGGCGCGAAUCCACGAAUCCAAACCCCAGCGUCUCUGCGAAUAUCUUCCCUAGGAUCUAAAUGCAGCCCCCUUCCUUGCAGGAAGGCAAGGUUCCCCGCCCCUGUGUGCUGCCCUGAGCACGAGGGGUUCGGCAGAACUAGGUUUCACCGAGGAGGGAGGAGGCAGAGAGUGAAAAAGUGACCUGGUGGCCUGAGAACACAUUGUCGAUUUGCCCAGCCAGGUUGUUCCUGGGAGUCACCCCCAGGGUAGGAACAGUGAACAGCAGGAUUGGCAGAAUGGGCGGGGGUAGUCUUACAAAAAACAAGGAGACCCCCCUCUUUCCUUCCCUCUCCUUUGUCAACCAGGGUGGCAAAUACUAGGGAACGUUGCUUGGCUCUUUGACUCUGUCAUCAGUCUGUGUGUAGGUAUGGGGGAAGACAGGGAGGUCAGGCUUCAGAUUUAUUGCAAGUGUUCCUCCAUGUGCCCCACCCUUUCUCAGCUCUUCUCCAGUAGAACCAAGACCCUGAUCGACAUUUUUCAAGAGUGAAAAUCUAUAGCAAAAAGAACAAGGAGCAGCUGGGCCUGUAUUAGUAACAUCUUCGGAGGAAAAAGGCAAAUAGCAAAGUGGUGGUUGUCGGAUGUGUUGAUCAACACCUGCUAUCAUAGCUUUUGGAAGCCAGAGGCUGGGGGAAUAAAGAGAAUUCAAGGCUA